rnacentral:ncRNA from 1 species
UUGAGCGGAGUACGGUGAAAGUCGUACGCUCCGUUCUUAGGGGAGUUGGCUCCGGUGACGGAACCCGCUUACCCGGU